rnacentral:rRNA from 1 species
GACGAACGCUGGCGGCGUGCUUAACACAUGCAAGUCGAACGAAGUGGCGAACGGGUGAGUAAUACGUGGGUAACCUGCCCUCCUUUUUGGGAUAAGCCUUGGAAACGGGGUCUAAUACCGAAUAAAGGGGGAUGGGCUCGCGGCCUAUCAGCUUGUUGGUGGGGUGAUGGCCUACCAAGGAGGUGACGGGUAGCCGGCCUGAGAGGGUGACCGGCCACAGUGGGACUGAGAAACGGCCCAGACUCGUACGGGGGGGAGCAGUGGGGGCUAGUGCACAAAGGGCGAAAGCCUGAUGCAGUGAGGCCGCGUGAGGGUGGAAGGCUUUCGAGUUGUAAGCCUAUUUCAGUAUCGAACGGGUAUGUGGAGAAGAAGCGCCGGCUAACUACGUGCCAGCAGCCGCGGUAAUUC